rnacentral:lncRNA from 1 species
AUGCGAGUAAGACGCUGUCCCGUAGUCACGGAGCUGGGGUUCGCGGGGCGGGAGCCGCCAUCUAGCGGAGGCCCGCCGACGCCGACCGACCCGACAGCUGGGGCGGGCUUCAGCGCAUCCCGGUGGCCGACGAUGACAAGGUUCGGACCCCGUGAACAAAGCCUCCGCCUGGCUCUCCCGUCUCGUGCGAGGGCCUCGGCUCCUACCGGCGGCCUCCGGGCAGGCGCUCCGCCGUGCGCUCGCCCAGCACCCACAGGCCGGGGGCCGACGCCGCGCACUCCGGUCCGGCCAGCGGGAAACACCAACAGGGAUACGCAGCCGGGCGCGUACGAACGCGAAGGAAACGCGGCAGGAGCUCCGCGGGGCGGGGCCGCAGGUGCGGCGGACGGGACCCGAGGGGCUCGCGUCUCACCCGCGCUCCGUGUCUGGGCAGGAAACGGCAGCGAGCGCACGGCGACCCGGCGGGGCGAGACCCAGGCUCUCCGCCCUCGUUCACCGCAGGGUCGGAGGGAAGUGUCUCCCGACCCCGAAGGCCCAGCCCCGCAGGCAGGGAGCCCCGGGGACGGGACGGGGGGCGGGACGGGGACGGGACCGGGGACACGGCCGGGGACGAGCCCGGGGACGGGACCGGGGACACGGCCGGGGACGAGCCCGGGGACGGGACCCGGGGACACGGGCCGGGGACGGGCUCGGGGACGGGGCCGGGCUCGGGGACGGGACCGGGGACACGGCCGGGAUCGGGGACGGGAUCAGGGACAGCCCCGGGGACGCGCCCGCCGGCCGCCACGGAGAUCACGGCAGGCUGUGACCACGAGCACCGUCCUCCGCCAGAGCCCGCCCGGGCCGCGCCCACGGGGACUCCCGCGCCCGCCGGCACAAGCGAGGGGCCGCGCUGGGGGACCCCCAGGGCCCAGGCCGGGCCGGAAGCCAAGCGAGGCCCGGGACGCCCUUGGAGGUGAACCUGCGGGACACCAACCAAGGGCUGCGGGAAGCCGGCGUCGGCACCGGGGGCGGGGGCGGCGCGGUGACCUUGCUCGCGCGGCCUCCCAGAUCCCGGCCGCCCCCCACGGGAGCUGGGCGGCAUCCCGCCUCGUCCCACGAGGCCCCGGAGGAGCCCGCUACUCACCCCGGGGCGGACACUGA